CCUACGGGUGGCAGCAGUGAGGAAUAUUGGUCAAUGGGCGUAAGCCUGAACCAGCCAAGUCGCGUGAGGGAUGAAGGUUCUAUGGAUCGUAAACCUCUUUUAUAAGGGAAUAAAGUGCGGGACGUGUCCCGUGUUGUAUGUACCUUAUGAAUAAGGAUCGGCUAACUCCGUGCCAGCAGCCGCGGUAAUACGGAGGAUCCGAGCGUUAUCCGGAUUUAUUGGGUUUAAAGGGUGCGUAGGCGGCCUUUUAAGUCAGCGGUGAAAGCCCGUGGCUCAACCAUAGAAUCGCCGUUGAAACUGGGAGGCUCGAGUAUGUUAGAGGCAGGCGGAAUGCGUGGUGUAGCGGUGAAAUGCUUAGAUAUCACGCAGAACCCCGAUUGCGAAGGCAGCCUGCCAGGCCAUGACUGACGCUGAGGCACGAAAGCGUGGGUAUCGAACAGGAUUAGAUACCCGGGUAGUC
rnacentral:rRNA from 1 species